GACGAACGCUGGCGGCGUGCUUAACACAUGCAAGUCGAACGAUGAACCACUUCGGUGGGGAUUAGUGGCGAACGGGUGAGUAACACGUGGGCAAUCUGCCCUUCACUCUGGGACAAGCCCUGGAAACGGGGUCGUAAUACCGGAUACGACACUCUCGGGCAUCCGAUGAGUGUGGAAAGCUCCGGCGGUGAAGGAUGAGCCCGCGGCCUAUCAGCUUGUUGGUGAGGUAACGGCUCACCAAGGCGACGACGGGUAGCCGGCCUGAGAGGGCGACCGGCCACACUGGGACUGAGACACGGCCCAGACUCCUACGGGAGGCAGCAGUGGGGAAUAUUGCACAAUGGGCGAAAGCCUGAUGCAGCGACGCCGCGUGAGGGAUGACGGCCUGG
rnacentral:rRNA from 1 species